rnacentral:piRNA from 1 species
UGCUUAGACAUGUAGUGAUCCUGAGGCAG